UUCAUUCUGUUACUAGUAAGUUCAAGGGAAAUGAUACUGAACCACCUCAUAACAGCAUUCCCUGGGUUAACAACUGACUAUAAAAGUAUGCUAAAAAUAGCCUUUGUUUUUAAGUCUCCCAAGUUGUAGCUCGGCCUCUAUACUGACAUUUGCUUUCAGUGAGCUUUCAGUGAGCAUGGAUGAUUUUGUGUCCACAAAGCUUUGUUCUGUGUUACCUUUUUAAUUCAGUGAGUGGUUAUUACUAGAAUUCCUAUCCCAAAAAAAGGAAAAGCCUUUGCUGAUAUUUUUAUAUAAAGCUUAAUAGAUAGUCUAAGGAGACUGUAAACAUUUACAUAACUAAAGUUACCUGAAAAUUCAAGGACCAUUGAUAAGGAAUCUGUCUUGAACUGAUAACAUUAAAGAGGUCUUAAUAAACGAGCAAGUAGAAAUUUUU
rnacentral:lncRNA from 1 species